UAUUAGCGGCCCCUCUGCGUCCGCGGCCCUGGAUGCUCUCAGGGAGAUACGGCUGGACAGGCUGACCCCUGAUCAGUGGCAGCAGGCUAACCUCACCACAGCUCUGUUCAAGGACAGCCUCGCGCCGCUCCUGCCCUCCGCCUCGCCAGACUUCCUGCGCUGCCUCGCCAAAGACCUCAGCUGUGGGACGUACCAGCACAUGGUGACUGUGUUCAGCCAUGGCUUCGAUCUCAUGGAUGAGGGACGCAGAGAGACUGUUCUGAACGAUUUCAUCAUGGUCUACCUGUCCAACACCUCAGCAUGCUUCUCCAAUGACAGUGUGGAAUGGCUGCAGAACAACCUCGGGCGAUUCUCAGGCCUUUUGAGCCUCGGUGACCUGUUCCAACUCAACGCACACUUCCGUCCACUGUCAGCACUGGAGUUCCUGUCUCCACGUCAGACGGCGGAGCUGAUGGUCCGUCGCUUCCCUGGCCUCCCGGGGCAGGUCGAGGUCAUCAACGUCGUCUUUGACCGCUUGACCUCAAAUGGACAGAAGCUUACGGAGGUCCUUCACCACCUGGUCGCACUCUCCAAACAGGUCAUGAUACCUUGCGACAGCUAUGAAGCCCUCUUUGAGAGGCUUUAUAAGGUCUUGCCCUACGAGCCUCGGAGAUCGAGCCUCUCAUUUGGGCCACGAUAGACGACCUGAUGCAAACAUCACCCAGAGACUGCCUGCCAGUGGACCUGACCUGUCCAAUCACACCAUUUAAUGACUCUCGAGUAUGUGAAGGCAUUGACAGCUCUGUGCUCCAGAGCCACCUGGGGGCUGGGGGUGGAAUGAUAAUGUGCAACUUCAGUGUGGAACAGUAUGCCUGUGCUCAUCUGGGAGAUUUCACUGCGGCAGACCUUGUCUCACUGUUGCAAUGCAAGCUGUCCAGCAACAUGGCCUACUCUAAGGAGACGUGGAAGGUGCUUCUCACCAAAACCUCUGCAGUCCUGGAUGAAGCACUUGGCAUCCUAUCGAACAUGUCUGUGACCUUCAGCGGUCCGUCGGUUCCUCUGGUUCUGGACGUGAUCAGGGAGAUGCGCUUCGACCUGCUCGAUCAGCAGCAGCUGCAGGACGUGGACGUCGUCUCGGCCUGGUUCGCGGGCCACCUGAGGCCCUUCCUCUCCUCCGCCUCAGGGGUCUUCCUGCACUGUGUCAGCAGCAGGGAGCUCAGUUGCGCCACCUACCAGCACGUGCUGGAUCAGUUCAGUCACAUGGGCGACAGCCAUGGCAUGAUGGUGCUGAAAUAUUUCAUCCGGCCCUUCCUGUCCAAAAACUCAACAGAACCGGCGUGCGCCUCGAAUAACAGUGCGGAGUGGCUGAAGGAGAACUUUGGGCCGUUCUCAGUGUUCGUCUCCAUCCCCGAGCUGGUCUCCCUCAACCCACAGUUCAACCCGCUGGCCGUGGUGGAGGUCCUGACCCCUCAGCAGACGGCCGAGCUGAUGGUGCUGAACGUGCCCGGGCUCCCCGACCGAGAGCAGCUCAUCAACAGCGUCUUUGACUACCUGCUCACCUCACCUGUGGAGAACCGCCUGCCUCAGGUCCUGGAGAGCGUCGCUUCCCUCGCAGCCACGGUCCCCCUGGAUUGUAGAUUGUACCAGACCAUUUUCAAGAGACUAAAUGACAUUCUGACAUCAUCACCUGGCGCCCUGGAACCAGUUAUCUGGACGAGCAUUUAUGACCUCACAUCAACAGCUCCAGCAGAUUGCGCUCUGUUCAUGGUGAAUCUCCAGGUAAGCUUCAUUAGUUAAUUAGUCUGUGCUUUACAGUUGGAUCCUUUUGUCCAAAUCUUAUUUUAUAUCUGAAUACAGUUUGAUAAAGGUGACAUAAAGGUGACAUACAGGUGACAUACAAGGUGACAUACAGGUGACAAACAGGUGUUUUUGUGUUCCUUUUAGUGCCCUAUUACUUCACACAAUGGUAAGACCGAUUACAUCAUCGACACCAAAGUCUAAAUAUGAUGCACUUUUUAUUAUGUUUCUGAAAACAGGAAAAGUAGAUUUGUUUGUUUGUUUGC
ensembl:lncRNA